CUCAUAUUUAUCCUUUAAAAUAAGAAAAGGCUACUUCUAAUGAAUUUAUCUACAGUGUCUUCAAUGUCCAAUGAAACAUUCUCUGUAAAUAUCUCAACUAGAUUUAAUUUUCCUCAGCAGAAAGUACCAUUACACACGUCUUGUGUGUUGCUAUCCACAGUUUUGCUAGAAACAUUGAGGUGACAGAUUGCUUGGACUUUUGAAACCUACCACAUGAUGAAAUCAGAUUUUGGCUUCUUUAAUUUUUUAAAGACUUUUUCACACAGGAGUUUGUUUUAAGAUUUUAGUCGAUUUCACCUUAAUUUUAUGCAAUAUAAACAUCAUGUAAAGAGUAACACGGUAAAGCCAUUUUAUUAUUUAUUUAGUAAGCAUGAGACGAAGUGGGAAGGGGGAGAUGGACGAUGGCUGGAAGAACAAAGCCCGCUCAGCUCUCCAAACAGAUCCACCAGCCAGCACCAACUGUUUCGAGUGACAGAAGCAAGCUUGAAUGUCCACAUUAAAAUGCUGCAUAACCAUGUGAAGGAAUGACAAAACACAUCAACCAUGUCAACAACUACCUUCAGAAGAGUCAAGAUGGAGAUCUUACAUCAAGCAUGUGGCUUGACCCCUUGCCUGCUCGACCACACACCUGACCUGCAUUCCUGCCUGCGACAACACCAUGCCGCAUCUGUGCACAGCUCUGCUGCAUCCCCGAGUCCCUAGCUAGCUACAGUACCAUGCAAUCUGCGUGCUCAGCUUUACUCAGCUUCCCCUCUGCAUGCUGCUCUGUGCAAUAUCCCAAGUCAGCGAGGUGCUAUGCCGUUUCCCUGGUUUUCUCAACUGCCUCCCCCCAGCCAUGGAAAGUACACACCACAGUGUCAUCUGGGGCAGCAGCAUGCUCCACCAGCAAUGGGUCCGGACACCCAAAUGACUCUGUUCUGACAGGUAAAAGUAUGGCUUUCUUAAAGAGUCACACAAAAAACGUGGCAUGCUUUUACGUCAAUGACUGCAUAGUGUGGUUCUACUGUGUUUUGUAAAGAAUAAGAUAUAAUGGGUGGGUAUAAAAUGUUAAAAAGAAACAUAAAAAUAACUUAAAAAGCAUAUUUUAAGAAACACAGAAACUGUAUAGUUGUUGAAUAAUUGUGAUGGAGAUGGAGGGUGCUAAUACUUAAUUCUGUGAAUAUUUUCUGAUGCAUGCAGCACCAUCUUGGAUACUAUUAAAGCUGAUAGCAGAGUUGACAGGCAAGUUGACAAUUAAACCACAGAUUAUCACACGACCUUUUAAGCACAUAUGUGCAAAAAAAGCAACAGGUCUUGAUGGCUGAGUAACACCAAUAUGCUGCCCCAUCUUUCAGAAGUCUGAUUAUUUAUACACUAUUCCUGCGCUGUGCAAUCAUAUACCAGUGCCUAAAAAGUCCAAUCCCUCAGAGAAUAAUGAUUUAUAGACCUGUAACACUGUCUUCUAUUGUAAUUAAAUGCUUGGAAGAAUUAUGGUAUCUAUGCUCAGCUCAAAAGUGAACACUGGACUCGAUCCAUAUCAGUUUGCAUAUACUGUAAGUGUUAUGUUGUUAUCUUGUUGUUAAAAAUCCUAUAAGACCCAGUGCUUAGGUGCAACUACUGUUUGAUGACAUUGCAGCCCCAUCUUUUGAUUAGUAAACUGAAGUAGAUGCCUGUUAUUCCUAUCAGAUGGCAUUAUCCAUUUUUAACAAACAGUGCACAGAAGGCCAGAUUUAAUAAGACUCUUUCUGAGUUAUGAUUUUGUUAAUACAGGUGCCCCUCAGGGCUGUGGGAGUUCACCAGUUCUAUUCAAACUACAUACAACUGAAUGUACAAGUAGUUAUCAAGGCAACUAUAUUGUUAAAUUUUCAGAUGGGACAGCUGUGCUUGGCUUAAUGUAUAGAGAAAGUCUAUGUAGUGUACAUGCCAGAAAUUCAUAGGUUUGUGCAAUGGUGUGACAGAUAUAACCCGAUUUUGAAUUAAAAAAAAACGUAAGAAUGGUGUUCGAUCCCUAAGCCGUUGGUUACCAUUCAUAUAUAGUGAUUCACAAGUAACUUAUUACCCAGGUUAAUUCAUACAAGUAUUUAGGAAUAUACAUAGACAUCAACCUGAGCUGGACUACUCAGGUUUAGAGUGUUUGCUCCAGAGUUCAGCAGCAUUUGUAUUUUGUCUAAUGGACAAGUUUGCUCUGUUGUUAGUGCCGUGUCCUUGCAUUAUGAAAAAAAGGAAAGGCGGGGCAGACUCAUACUGCAGGAUCUUGAGGUUGAAACGAUGAUCACAUCUCUCCUUUGAUGGUACUAAAGCUGCAGAUAUGAGCAGAGCUGACAGGAUUGAGAUGUAUGAAAAUAAUAGAGAUCCAAAUUAUUAAUGACAGAAUACUGGACUAAAGAACCCGGCGACACAGUGGUUAGCAUUUCUGCCUCACUGUGCUGGUGCCCUGGGUUCAAUUCCGGACCUGGGGUUCUA